CAAGAGUACAGUAGGAUGGGAUGUGAUGUUCUCAACAAAAGUAUCCCGUUUUGGUGGCAAGCACAAUUACUGAAAACACUGACUACAUCUGGUAUGCCCUUCACUGUCUGAAAUGACUGUCAAGCUUCACGCAACCUCAUUCCAAGGAUUCCAGGACCCAGAGUCAGGUGGUGGAACAGAGAAGGAGUGGUCUUACCUGGAGAAAGAUCAACGUUCUCCAUCAGCUCUGAAACACAAUCCUUCUCCUUUCUUUCCUGACCUGGUCUCUGAAUUUUACUUGGUCCCACAUGGGGUGCAUUCCUCCUAAUUUCUUCCAAAUGUAUUAGGUUCUGCAUUUCUCUGGCUUUUCCAAGUCACAUGGGAUUCAUUCAAUUAAUGACUAUGAUGUCAAAUGCAAUCGGCUGUCUGGAGGUUUACGUCUGUAAAGAUUUAUUCUGCUUAAAGUGCAAUAAAUAACACCACCCAGAUAGAAAACA